rnacentral:lncRNA from 1 species
CUCAAAUGAAAAGGCAAAGCCCCUUACAAAGGAAGCUUAUUACUCCUUUCCUUUCUUCCUCCCUAGAUCUUGGACAUGAUACCUGGAUGUGCAGCAGCCAUCUGGUAAUUAUGAGGUGACAAGUCAAUAGACUGAGAUGGUGGAGCAGCAAAGAUAGAAAAGAAGGACAGAAUAACGGGCUCCCAGAUUCACAAGCCCCACCAAGAGGAUCACCCCAGGAACGCUUGGAGGCUGAGGAGUUCACUGAGGCUACUGCAUCUUGAGACUCAGGAUGAAGACCCAGCUUGGGGCUGUCAAAGGUUUUUUGCAUGUCUGACACCCAUGACUCCACCUGGACCUUAUGGCUCCACCCAGAAGCAAUUCAGCCCAACAGGAGGACAGCUUCAACCCAUUACGAUUUCAUCUCUGCCCCAACCACUCAGCAGCAAGCACCUGUUACCUGUCCACCCCCACCCCUUCCCCCAAACUGCCUUUGAAAAAUCCCUAACCUAUGAGCUUUGAAUAAGAUGAGUACGAACUUCAUCGCCCACGUGGCGUGGCCGGCCUCGUGUCUAUUAAAUUCUUUUUCUACUACAAU